rnacentral:hammerhead_ribozyme from 1 species
AUCAAGCUGACGAGUCCCAAAAAGGACGAAUCGCGCGUCCUGGAU